AGAGUUUGAUCCUGGCUUAGGAUGAACGCUGGCGGCGUGCUUAACACAUGCAAGUCGAACGAAGCAGUUAUACAAUCCCUCGGGGUGACGAUUUACUGACUGAGUGGCGGACGGGUGAGUAACGCGUGGGUAACCUACCUGUACAGGGGGACAACAGUUGGAAACGACUGCUAAUACCGCAUAAGCGCACAGCUUCGCAUGAAGCAGUGUGAAAAGUAUUUUCGGUACAAGAUGGACCCGCGUCUGAUUAGCUAGUUGGUGAGGUAACGGCCCACCAAGGCGACGAUCAGUAGCCGACCUGAGAGGGUGACCGGCCACAUUGGGGACUGAGACACGGCCCAAACUCCUACGGGAGGCAGCAGUGGGGAAUAUUGCACAAUGGGCGAAAGCCUGAUGCAAGCGACGCCGCGUGAGCGAAGAAGUAUUUCGGUAUGUAAAGCUCUAUCAGCAGGGAAGAUAAUGACGGUACCUGACUAAGAAGCACCGGCUAAAUACGUGCCAGCCGCCGC
rnacentral:rRNA from 1 species